CCUACGGGUGGCAGCAGUGAGGAAUAUUGGUCAAUGGACGAGAGUCUGAACCAGCCAAGUAGCGUGAAGGAUGACUGCCCUAUGGGUUGUAAACUUCUUUUAUAUGGGAAUAAAAUGUUCCACGUGUGGGCUUUUGUAUGUACCAUAUGAAUAAGGAUCGGCUAACUCCGUGCCAGCAGCCGCGGUAAUACGGAGGAUCCGAGCGUUAUCCGGAUUUAUUGGGUUUAAAGGGAGCGUAGGUGGAUUGUUAAGUCAGUUGUGAAAGUGUGCGGCUCAACCGUAAAAUUGCAGUUGAAACUGGCAGUCUUGAGUACAGUAGAGGUGGGCGGAAUUCGUGGUGUAGCGGUGAAAUGCUUAGAGAUCACGAAGAACUCCGAUUGCGAAGGCAGCUCACUGGACUGCAACUGACACUGAGGUUCGAAAGUGUGGGUAUCAAACAGGAUUAGAUACCCGUGUAGUC
rnacentral:rRNA from 1 species